rnacentral:lncRNA from 1 species
UGCAAAGUAAUGCCAACCCUCCUGCGGUCCACAGGUGGUUCAAGAAGAGAGCAGAUGUAGAGGAAGAACUGGGCAUCUCACACGUGCUUUCCUUCACUGCGGCCCAAGAGAACACUGGGGAAUACAUUUGUGAGGCACAGAAUCAAUACGGUGCAAUGAACUCCACAAACCUACAGAUCACCGUCAUAGGCAUAUCCUUCACUGCUUUCCUCUCAAUUUUGACAGCUUUAUCAUUGCUCAUAUUUGCACUUCUUGCACUUCUUAUUCUUAUGAUUUGCAGGAGGUGGAAAGAGCCAGUCAGAAGUGUAAGUAUAUUUUCUGCCAUGGUAUGUUCUUCAUGAAGUUAUAACACAAUAGACGUUCAAAGAUCAUUUAUCAAUGCAUUUCAGGAAACAAGCCAAGAUCAGAACAUUUAUAGCAAUGUGUCCGCAAGUGCAGUGAAAAGCGAGCAGCUCCAAUCAAAGCCAUGUGAAGAUGAGAACACCAGCACCAUUAACCCUGAACACACAUUCAAACAUGAUCUCCCCGACGAAAGCAUCUACGCAAACUGUUGAAGUGAAAAGUAGCAUGUUUUAAAGGGGUCAUGUGAUGUUGCUGAAAUUUUAGAUGUUUGUUGAUAACUCAUGGUAAAGUUCAUGCUGUGCAUGAUAAUCAGUGAACUGCUGUUUCCUGUAGUAGAUUUUUACACCAAAGCAAUGAAGUUUAUUCAGUAAAGGCUGCCC